GAUGAACGCUGGCGGCGUGCCUAAUACAUGCAAGUCGAGCGAACAGAUGAGGAGCUUGCUCCUCUGACGUUAGCGGCGGACGGGUGAGUAACACGUGGAUAACCUACCUAUAAGACUGGGAUAACUUCGGGAAACCGGAGCUAAUACCGGAUAAUAUAUUGAGCCGCAUGGUUCAAUAGUGAAAGACGGUUUUGCUGUCACUUAUAGAUGGAUCCGCGCCGCAUUAGCUAGUUGGUAAGGUAACGGCUUACCAAGGCGACGAUGCGUAGCCGACCUGAGAGGGUGAUCGGCCACACUGGAACUGAGACACGGUCCAGACUCCUACGGGAGGCAGCAGUAGGGAAUCUUCCGCAAUGGGCGAAAGCCUGACGGAGCAACGCCGCGUGAGUGAUGAAGGUCUUCGGAUCGUAAAACUCUGUUAUUAGGGAAGAACAAAUGUGUAAGUAACUAUGCACGUCUUGACGGUACCUAAUCAGAAAGCCACGGCUAACUACGUG
rnacentral:rRNA from 1 species